CCUUGGAUCCACAUGCUUAUUCAUGAUGCCUAUAUUGAAGUGGUGUUACGGUUUGCUUCCUUGUUGAAUUUAGAUAAUCCAAAACUUAUUGAAUUAAAUUACAUUUCAACAUUUUUAAUUUUUUUUGGUAAUUAACAUUUUUUUUAUUUUUUUUAGUUUUAUUGCAGCACUUUUUUUUUAUUUAUCUUUUGAAAAGUUUACCAUUGCCACAUGAUUUACGUUUUGCAUUGAAUUUUUAUUCUAGUUGCAAUAUUUUUUUUUAGUUUAAGUGUUACCUUUAAUGUCAUGUCACGUGUUUUAUUUAUUAUGUGUUACAUUUUAACUAGUUUACAUAUUUUGUUUCAAUACCGUUUGAUUUUUAUGUUGUCCAAUUCUAUUUUAUUUUUUUUCCCAGCAUUUUCAAUUUUGCUUGAUUAUGUUUAAUUUUCAUGCAUUUAGUUUAGUUUAAUUCUCGUCUCAAACACCUUUCAAACCCCCU
rnacentral:lncRNA from 1 species